AUGAACGCUGGCGGCGUGCCUAAUACAUGCAAGUCGAGCGAACAGAUAAGGAGCUUGCUCCUUUGACGUUAGCGGCGGACGGGUGAGUUACACGUGGAUAACCUACCUAUAAGACUGGGAUAACUUCGGGAAACCGGAGCUAAUACCGGAUAACAUAUUGAACCGCCUGGUUCAAUAGUGAAAGGCGGCUUUGCUGUCACUUAUAGAUGGAUCCGCGCCGUAUUAGCUAGUUGGUAAGGUAACGGCUUACCAAGGCAACGAUACGUAGCCGACCUGAGAGGGUGAUCGGCCACACUGGAACUGAGACACGGUCCAGACUCCUACGGGAGGCAGCAGUAGGGAAUCUUCCGCAAUGGGCGAAAGCCUGACGGAGCAACGCCGCGUGAGUGAUGAAGGUCUUCGGAUCGUAAAACUCUGUUAUCAGGGAAGAACAAAUGUGUAAGUAACUGUGCACAUCUUGACGGUACCUGAUCAGAAAGCCACGGCUAACUACGUG
rnacentral:rRNA from 1 species